rnacentral:rRNA from 1 species
UUCCCUACGGGACGCAGCAGUGAGGAAUACUGGUCAAUGGGCUUACGCCUGAACCAGCCAAGCCGCGUGAGGGAAGACUGCCCUAUGGGUUGUAAACCUCUUUUGUCAGGGAGCAACGCCGGCUACGUGUAGCCGGACUGAGAGUACCUGAAGAAAAAGCAACGGCUAACUCCGUGCCAGCAGCCGCGGUAAUACGGAGGAUGCGAGCGUUAUCCGGAUUUAUUGGGAUUAAAGGGUGCGUAGGCGGAAUGCCAAGUCAGCGGUAAAAUCGCGGGGCUCAACCUCGCUCCGCCGAUGAAACUGGG